rnacentral:tRNA from 1 species
AGGUUUAUAGUGUAAUGGAUAGCAUGCAAGGUUUCGACCCUUGUGGUAUAGGUUCGAAUCCUAUUAAACCUA